UGCCAGACUCCUACGGGAGGCAGCAGUGGGGAAUAUUGCACAAUGGGGGAAACCCUGAUGCAGCGACGCCGCGUGAGCGAUGAAGUAUUUCGGUAUGUAAAGCUCUAUCAGCAGGGAAGAAAAUGACGGUACCUGACUAAGAAGUCCCGGCUAACUACGUGCCAGCAGCCGCGGUAAUACGUAGGGGGCAAGCGUUAUCCGGAUUUACUGGGUGUAAAGGGAGCGUAGACGGCGGUGCAAGCCAGAUGUGAAAGCCCGGGGCUCAACCCCGGGACUGCAUUUGGAACUGUGCUGCUGGAGUGUCGGAGAGGCAGGCGGAAUUCCUAGUGUAGCGGUGAAAUGCGUAGAUAUUAGGAGGAACACCAGUGGCGAAGGCGGCCUGCUGGACGAUGACUGACGUUGAGGCUCGAAAGCGUGGGGAGCAAACAGGAUUAGAUACCCUCGUA
rnacentral:rRNA from 1 species